AAUACAAAGUCCAUUCUGAUACCAUCAGCCACUAAAUACUUUCUAUGUUAAUGCUAGCAGCAAAACUGUCUUCGAUU